rnacentral:rRNA from 1 species
GGAAGGGGUGUAUUUAUUAGAUAAAAAACCAAUGCCCUUCGGGGCUUCUUGGUGAUUCAUGAUAACUAAACGGAUCGCAUGGCCUUGCGCCGGCGACGGUUCAUUCAAAUUUCUGCCCUAUCAACUUUCGAUGGUAAGGUAUUGGCUUACCAUGGUUUCAACGGGUAACGGGGAAUUAGGGUUCGAUUCCGGAGAGGGAGCCUGAGAAACGGCUACCACAUCCAAGGAAGGCAGCAGGCGCGCAAAUUACCCAAUCCCGACACGGGGAGGUAGUGACAAUAAAUACUGAUACAGGGCUCUUUUGGGUCUUGUAAUUGGAAUGAGUACAAUUUAAACCUCUUAACGAGGAACAAUUGGAGGGCAAGUCUGGUGCCAGCAGCCGCGGUAAUUCCAGCUCCAAUAGCGUAUAUUAAAGUUGUUGCAGUUAAAAAGCUCGUAGUUGAACCUUGGGCCUGGCUGGCAGGUCCGCCUCACCGCGUGUACUUGUCCGGCCGGGCCUUUCCUUCUGGAGAACCUCAUGCCCUUUACUGGGUGUGCUGGGGAACCAGGACUUUUAC